rnacentral:rRNA from 1 species
CCCUUAGAUGUUCUGGGCUGCAUGCGCGCUACACUGAAGCUAUCAACACGUUUUCCCUCCCUGAGAAGGGCGGGUAACCUUUUGAAUCAGCUUCGUGGUAGGGAUCGGGGCUUGCAAUUGUUCCCCGUGAACCAGGAAUUCCUAGUAGACGCGAGUCAUAAGCUCGCAUCGAUUAAGUCCCUGCCCUUUGUACACACCGCCCGUCGCCACUACCGAUUGAACGUUUUAGUGAGGCAUUUGGACCGACGCAUCUCAGUUUAACCGCUGGUUUGUGUUGGAAAGACUUCCAAACUUGAGCGUUUAGAGGAAGUAAAAGUCGUAACA